AGCAGUGUCAGUGUGCCGCUGCUGCUCGGCUUCUGCAGUCUGCUGCGGUCGCUCCUCUAGUAAUGGCUUUUAUAUGUAUUAUCUGAGUGUUAAAUUCAUAUUUUGAGUGAGUUUGUGUUGUGGGAUGACGAUUGAGAACGAAUAAACGCGAAUAUGGACACUUCUACCAGCAGAUAACAGACAAGCAAACUGCAAAAGAGAGGACCUGAAAGCUUGAUCCUUGGAGACGAAUACUGUAUGUAAACCAGGAUUCUGGAUCAGCUGUGAAGAUUUUGUAUGGAGCUGAAGUUUUGGAAAUGAAAAUCUUCUACCAUAUGAUCUUCAGAGGAACUAAUCCAGCUGAUUACUGAAGAUUUGGAGGAGGACUGCUCUUUAUCUGCUGUGUCUGUCACUUCUGGCCAUGGACUAUUUGUUGUAUGUUUUGGUUUUACUUAUUACACUAAUAUAGCUAUUAGUUUUUAACUAUAUGUAGAAUUAAAAUACAUAUGUUUUUCUACAUAUAUUACCAGAGCUACUGUGGUGCCCAAAAUUAUUAGAACACUAUUUAUUUUAUACCAGUUAAAAAAUGGUUUUAAGUCAGUUAUUUCUAUCUUUAUAGUGUCAGUAGGAAAUAUCAGUUUACAUUUCCAAGCAUUAAUUUUACCCUUAAUUGUAAUUUUUUGAGAUUUUUGUUUGCACAAGAAGUCUGACAACAGCCAGUACUUCACAGAGAUCUGAUCUCAUCGUCUAAAUCCAGAAGAACUGUGGCAGCGUCUCCAAGAUGCUUCAAGAAACCUACCUGCAAAGCUAAAAGUUUUAGGCACUUGUGUAAAAAUUCUGUUAAAUGAGGAUGUUGUCAAAAAUAAUGCCAUAAAUAAAUUUUCUUUAUCAAUUAACUUUUAUAACUAAAUUAAAUCAACAUUUAGUGUAACCAUCCUUUGCGUUUAAAGCAGCUUUUGCUCUAGGUGUACGUGUGGUUAGUUUUUCAGGUAACUUUUCAGGUAGGUUUCUUGAAGCGUCUUGGAGACGUUGCCACAGUUCUUCUGGAUUUAGUCUGUCUCAGUUUGUUCGGUUUCUUCAUGUCAUUCCAGACAGACUGAUGAUGAUCAGAUCAGAUCUCUGUGUAAACUGAUAUUUCCUACUGAAACACUACAGCAAAAGAUAGAAAUAACUGACUUAAAACCAUUUUUUAGCUGCUGAAAAUACAAGUGUUCUAAUCAUUUUGGACACCACUGUACAUGGAGCCCACAGCAGUCAGUAGAAUAUUGUGGAUUAAUAUAAGACUUAUGUUAUGUACUCAUGACCUCAUCAUGAGAGUAACCCUAACUGAUAAGAUAGAAAUGCAAUUUUUAGCUAUUCAAUUCCUCCUGGGGGCUCUGAAGAAGUGUUUAUGAAGAAUUCAUUGAUAAUGUUAUUUUACAUUUGAAUAAUAAAAUUGCUUGACAAUCUUGUACAUAUAUUUUAGUAUUUUUGUUCAGUUUAAAAGGACUAGUUCAAUUCCAGAAUGAAGAUUUGCUGAUAAUUUAUUCACCCCCAUGUCAUCCAAGAUGUUCAUGUCUUUCUUUUUUCUGUUGAAAAGAAAUUAAGGUUUUUGAGGAAAACAUUCCAGUUGACUCCCACUGAAGUCCACUAUAUGGAGAAAAAUUAUUUAAUUUCUCAAAAACUUUAAUUUCUUUUUGACUGAGUAAAGAAAGACAUGAACAUCUUGGAUUACAUGGGGGUGAGUAAAUUAUCAGAAAAUAUUUAUUCUGGAAGUGAACUUGUCCUUUUAAGCUGAAUAUAUUUAAUUCAACAUUUUUAUGAAAGUGUUCUAUGUUCUUCACCAGUACAGUAUUUUUAAAUGUAAUUGUGCUGUAUUUCUUUUAAAUUUUAAUUUCUUAUGGCAUCUGUACAGACUUUGUAUUUUGUCUUCUAAAUAAAACUGAAUUUUCCAUCUUGA